rnacentral:lncRNA from 1 species
GGUGGGUUUAAAGCUAUCUAAACCUCUCACUUGUAUGGCAGUCUCAUCAAAUUCCAUUAUGUUGGCAACGAUGUGUGAACAAAAAAAAAACAAAAAAACAAACAAUAUAGGUAAAAAUGUCAAAAAUAAGGGUACAGCUGUCAACAAUGUGUUAUAGUAGUAAUCUUACUCACUAUGAAAACAAACAAAUAUGUAACAGAGAGGCAUAAAAUGGC